rnacentral:rRNA from 1 species
AUGCUCUAUUUAGCGGAGCCAGAUGCGGUGCCCUUUCGCAUUAUCAUCUACCGCCCUUUCUUUCCUCCCGUCCCUUCACGCAUGAAGAUCGUCGUAUGUAUGUUCGACUUCGGUUGCCGGUGCAAUAGAAUUGGCGGGAGUAUAUUAUGGCAGGAUCAGUCACCUGGGAAAACCAAACCUCCUCCAAGAAGAAUUGUGCUAUGCCCCCCUCCGAUAUCCCUAUAG